UUUGGAGGGCAAGUCUGGUGCCAGCAGCCGCGGUAAUUCCAGCUCCAAUAGCGUAUAUUAAAGUUGUUGCAGUUAAAAAGCUCGUAGUUGAAUUUCGGGAUCAAUAUUUCGGUCAUGCCGUUGGUAUGCACUGUUAUCAUUGAUUUCUCACCUUCUAAAGAACCGUGAUGCCAUUAAUUUGGUGUAC
rnacentral:rRNA from 1 species